rnacentral:tRNA from 1 species
ACUCUAUUAUAAGCUAUUUGAAU